AAAAAAAUUAAUUCUUCCCAAUUUUUUAAAGAAAAAAAUAUAAAGUUUAUUCCAAAAAGCAGGAACAAUAAUUUUCUCUUCAGUGCGACACUAAAACAAAAAAAAGUGUUUUAUGCAGACUGCUUUCCUUCGCUGUCCUUCCCCCACUUAAGUGAAUAGAAAGGAGAGGGAUAAACGGAUUGGAAGCAAGGAUAUGCGUGCGAAGCAAAGGAAGGAAGGAAGGAAAGGGAACGCUUGAAAGGAAAGAAUAUGAAAGGAGAAAAGAGGGAUGAAGAAAGUCUAGAUAGAAGGAAGGAAACAAGGAAAGUUUAAAGGAAGGAUAAGGCGGGUCAAAGGAAGGAACGCUGGAGGUACGGAGGAGGAAGAAUGGAAGGAAGCAUGGAAGGAAUACAAAAUGCCUGAUCUCCAUCAGGGUGUGACUGAUUCUAGAAAAUACCUUGCUGAUCACAGUCAGAUUCUCAGACAAGAUUUUUCAUGGAUGGAGGAGACGCCUGUCACAUCUUAUUGGAUGGUGGUUUCAGUAUGUUUAUUUUCAGAGAUGAUUCUGAUAAAAAUCACUCGGGUGAUCCAGGACAAGAGACGCUGUGAAGUCGCUCUCGCAGGAAAAUUGGCACUCACGGCUCUCGACACACGAGUCCAAAGCAAUUUACUCUUCUGCUGGUUUAUGAACAAGACAAAGAGACGAAGAUCAGAAGACUGUACGGGAAGGCGCAGAACCACCAUCCAAUCCUGGGGAAGAGGAUAACGAGGAAGGCCACUUCAUUUACACUCAAGAAUAACAGGAUGAUGGAUGGCAAAGAUGAUAAGGUCGGCCCAUUGCACCACCACGAUGCUGGCGAAGAAAGCAGUGUGGCACGUGAACUCCACGAUCUUCCUCUGCUCGUAGGUCUGCAGGGGUGCAGAGACCGUCGUGAAUGUAGUUGUAUA